rnacentral:rRNA from 1 species
AACGUAGGAGGCAAGCGUUGUCCGGAAUUAUUGGGCGUAAAGAGCUCGUAGGCGGUCUGUCGCGUCGGCUGUGAAAACCCGGAGCUCAACUCCGGGCCUGCAGUCGAUACGGGCAGACUGGAGUUCGGCAGGGGAGACUGGAAUUCCUGGUGUAGCGGUGAAAUGCGCAGAUAUCAGGAGGAACACCGGUGGCGAAGGCGGGUCUCUGGGCCGAUACUGACGCUGAGGAGCGAAAGCGUGGGGAGCGAACAGG